AAAAAAAAAAAAAAAAAAACAAAACAGAAAAACGAGGGGAGCUGAGUACGGGUGAGGAACAGAGAAGAAAAAAACAGAGGGAGUUCUGGAUAUGGGAGAAGCCUAAAAAUAGUGGGGAAAAGUGAAUGAGAGGCGGAAGAUUGGUCUUUGAGUGCAACAUCAUUUUUGUUCUUGGUUGAAUUUUGGAGAUACACAGAUCAAUUUUUUUGAGUGAGAAAGCACCACGAUAGCAACCACUUUCUCCUCCAUUUAGAAUCACCAUCACCAUCACGAUUUGAAGAGGAGAGCUUCAGCACUAUGGGUUUUUGAAGAGGAGAGCUUCAACAUCUCGGUUUUUAGGAAGUCAUCAUCAGCAUACACAAAUCAUAUUUGGUGGAGAUUCUGAGUUCGAUAACUCUAAAAAAAAUGCAACGAGAAGAUUGCCAAGUUAAGAGUGUAGGGAGGGAAUUGUACCAGAGAACUAAGGUUGCACCAUGGGAAAUCAAAAAGGCCGCAUGGAAAAGUGGAGUUCUGGAAACAAUCAAGGUGGAAAAAUGAGACAUGGGAAAAAAAGAGUUUUGAAGAGAAUGAAGGCUGGGGGGGUUUCCAAAGGAGAGGGGCUGUGGGAAAAUGGAGCCAUGUGGGGAGUCUUAAAAAAGAAAAGAAAGAAAAAAAAAAAAAGGAAGACUAGGGUUUUCCGAGGGGGGAAGUGGAAAAGCCUGAAGGAAGGAACCUUGAGGAGGUUAAAAAUCGGCAGGAGAGGAAGAAGAGAGAGGGGAACAUCCUGGAGGUUUAGAGAGAAAAAGGGAAAAGAGAAACAGAGCAGGAGAGGGAGAAGAGCAGGGGAGAGAAAGGGAAGCUAAUUUUGCGGUGAUUUACUAUAAGUUUAAAAGAAGAAACAGAGCAACUUGGAGCCUAGCUGUUCUCAUUGGAAAGAGCAUUUCCAGAUUUGGCUUUGGUUGUUGGUUUUGCUUUGCUGAAGGAGAUGAAGUGAAAAGAGAAGAAACCUAGAGUGAUAUUUAACUCUCAACCACCUGGACGUGUGGGGAUUUGGUUAUUUGAAAAACCCAAAAUUGAAAUUGGAA